ACACAUGCAAGUCGGACGGUAACAGGAAGCAGCUUGCUGCUUUGCUGACGAGUGGCGGACGGGUGAGUAAUGUCUGGGAAACUGCCUGAUGGAGGGGGAUAACUACUGGAAACGGUAGCUAAUACCGCAUAACGUCGCAAGACCAAAGAGGGGGACCUUAGGGCCUCUUGCCAUCGGAUGUGCCCAGAUGGGAUUAGCUAGUAGGUGGGGUAAAGGCUCACCUAGGCGACGAUCCCUAGCUGGUCUGAGAGGAUGACCAGCCACACUGGAACUGAGACACGGUCCAGACUCCUACGGGAGGCAGCAGUGGGGAAUAUUGCACAAUGGGCGCAAGCCUGAUGCAGCCAUGCCGCGUGUAUGAAGAAGGCCUUCGGGUUGUAAAGUACUUUCAGCGGGGAGGAAGGGAGUAAAGUUAAUACCUUUGCUCAUUGACGUUACCCGCAGAAGAAGCACCGGCUAACUCCGUGCCAGCAGCCGCGGUAAUACGGAGGGUGCAAGCGUUAAUCGGAAUUACUGGGCGUAAAGCGCACGCAGGCGGUUUGUUAAGUCAGAUGUGAAAUCCCCGGGCUUAACCUGGGAACUGCAUCUGAUACUGGCAGGCUUGAGUCUCGUAGAGGGGGGUAGAAUUCCAGGUGUAGCGGUGAAAUGCGUAGAGAUCUGGAGGAAUACCGGUGGCGAAGGCGGCCCCCUGGACGAAGACUGACGCUCAAGUGCGAAAGCGUGGGGAGCA
rnacentral:rRNA from 1 species